GGGACACCCUAAGGAAAAGCAGGGCAAAUCAGAAACUGGGACGGCUUCUCUAAAUCAGAGACAUUCCUGGAAAAUAGAGACACUUGGGGUGGGUUCUGUCACAGCUGCCACCAUCACCGCUCAGGACAAGUGCUGGCUCAUCCUCUCCCCUGAGCUUGGCAACAGCAGUGCUGGUGGGGGAAAGAGCCACAUUCCAGGAUGAAAUCAGAAGCUGGAGUGGCUUUUGUAAUUUUGGGACUGUCUCUGGGAAAUCGGGACACUUGG